AAGUAGUCAAUUAGUCUUGAGUAAAUUUUAUAUGUUGAUCAAACUGAAGUUUCAAAAUGUUGGCAGUAUAAUAUUAAAUUCUGAGAAACUUGCUUUAUUAAAAUGAUAUUUCACAAUUUAUCUUAUCUUAAUAAUUUAUUUGGUUUAUGUAUUGCUGUUUAAUUUAUUGUUUAUUAUAUUAAUAAAUUUAAAUAAUGAGGUUGGAGAAUUAAUUAAAGAAUUCAAGUCAAAAUGUAAUAAUAUUAAGGUUAAAGUGAGUUGCUUUUUUUUAGAAAAUAAAGAAUGAGAAAUAAAUUGAAAUAUUUAUGGGAAUUAGGAUUAGGUUGUAAAAGAAGAGUAGUUAGUUUUUUUGAUAAUAUUUAUAGGUAUGU
rnacentral:rRNA from 1 species